rnacentral:rRNA from 1 species
GACGAACGCUGGCGGCGUGCUUAACACAUGCAAGUCGAACGGAAAGGCCCUGCUUUUGUGGGGUGCUCGAGUGGCGAACGGGUGAGUAACACGUGAGUAACCUGCCCUUGACUUUGGGAUAACUUCAGGAAACUGGGGCUAAUACCGGAUAGGAGCUCCUGCUGCAUGGUGGGGGUUGGAAAGUUUCGGCGGUUGGGGAUGGACUCGCGGCUUAUCAGCUUGUUUGUGGGGUAGUGGCUUACCAAGGCUUUGACGGGUAGCCGGCAUGAGAGGGUGACCGGCCACAUUGGGACUGAGAUACGGACCAGACUCCUACGGGAGGCAGCAGUGGGGAAUAUUGCACAAUGGGCGGAAGCCUGAUGCAGCAACGCCGCGUGCGGGAUGACGGCCUUCGGGUUGUAAACCGCUUUCGCCUGUGACGAAGCGAGAGUGACGGUAAUGGGUAAAGAAGCACCGGCUAACUACGUG